rnacentral:rRNA from 1 species
AUUGAACGCUGGCGGCAUGCUUUACACAUGCAAGUCGAACGGUAACAGGGUGCUUGCACCGCUGACGAGUGGCGAACGGGUGAGUAAUGCGUCGGAACGUGCCGAGUAGUGGGGGAUAACGCAGCGAAAGUUGUGCUAAUACCGCAUACGUACUGAGGUAGAAAGUGGGGGACCUUCGGGCCUCACGCUAUUCGAGCGGCCGACGUCUGAUUAGCUAGUAGGUGAGGUAAAGGCUCACCUAGGCGACGAUCAGUAGCGGGUCUGAGAGGAUGAUCCGCCACACUGGGACUGAGACACGGCCCAGACUCCUACGGGAGGCAGCAGUGGGGAAUCUUGGACAAUGGGCGAAAGCCUGAUCCGGCCAUGCCGCGUGUCUGAAGAAGGCCUUCGGGUUGUAAAGGACUUUUGUCGGGGAGGAAAUCCCCAGCGUUAAUACCGCUGGGGGAUGACAGUACCUGAAGAAUAAGCACCGGCUAACUACAUGCCAGCAGCCGCAGUAAGAC